rnacentral:sRNA from 12 species
UUCGUCAGCUAACGGGCUAUCAAUCCGCUGAACUAAAACAGCAUAAGUGACGAAGUAUCUCAUAGAAACAGUCAGUGUCGUUGAUUGUGGUGAAAACCUGCAAGAUAUAUAAAGUAUAAAAAUUUAGCAAAUAGCUGUUAGAAACGACACUUCUAACAGUUUUUU